AUGCUCAACCUCACUCUUCCUGGUCAACAUCCCAACCCCGAAGCUGUUGUCCAAGAAGUUCACAGGUAUAUAGUUCUAAUUAAGGCCUUUGGUUCUGUUUACUCUACUUGGAUACUCUUUUCUAGGCUUAUAAUGUGAACUACUACUCAGUGUACACACUUUGUUAGUUUUUAUGUACUGGGUUGUUCUGCAUUUUGUGUUUUCAACUUUAUCCUCCUAGAUCUGGGUCAUUUUGCAUGUCUUUUAACUACAUUCUUGAGUUGCUCUCAAGUCACAACCUCAAUUUGUUUCUUUUCUUUUUAUGUUAAGUAACUAGUUUGUUUGACCGUGUCAGGACUAAAGUUUGAUUUUUGUUGUAAUUAGUUUGUUUCUUUCUUUUGUUACAGGAAGGUAAAUGCUUCUAUAGCAAGAAGGGAAAUGCUACAGGUCUCUCAGAAAGACCAGGCCACAUGCCAAACAGGAAACCCCAUAGAUGACUGUUGGAAAUGUGACCCGAAUUGGGCCAACAACAGACAGAGACUAGCAGAUUGUGCAAUUGGGUUUGGCCAAUAUGCUGUCGGUGGCAAGAAUGGUGAAUUCUACCUUGUCACUGACUCCUCAGACGAUGAUGCUGUGAAUCCUAAGCCAGGCACGCUAAGAUAUGCAGUGAUUCAGACUGAGCCUCUAUGGAUUGUGUUUCCUAGCAACAUGCUCAUUAAGCUGUCUCAGGAGCUCAUCUUUAAUAGCUACAAGACUCUUGAUGGGCGAGGGGCUAAUGUGCACAUUGUGGGUGGUGGGUGCAUUACUCUCCAGUUUAUAAGCAAUGUCAUUAUACACAACAUUCAUAUCCACCAUUGUCAUCCGUCAGGUUAGAAAAUUCUUUCUGGUAUUUUUUCUUCAAAAUCUGCAUUGAGUCUGAUAUUUUUGUUUGUGGAUGAUAAUAUUCCACAGUUUUUGACCUUCUUUUGAGAAGUUUCAAAGUGGAAAAUAUUGUUGUCCUACACACUUGGUGAACGAAUGGAAAGUGUUUCUCAGAUUCUCAUAAUGAUCAUUUAUUUAUUUAUUAUUUAUUUAAUGAAAGAUUUUUUUUUUCUUUUUUCGUAAGACAGGCCAUAAAUCACUCACAUAAACUUCAUGUCUUUAAUAAUGUAGUUUUUCUUUAACCAAAAAAAAAAAAAACUGUAUUUUCUCUAUUUAUUUUUAAUUUUUACAUGCAUUUUGGUAAGACAAUAAGGUGUCAUAAAUCAUUCACAUAGUUCAUGUGUUUGAUAUAAAUGAAGAUGCAAAAUGUAACCCUUCAGCAUGCAUAACAAUUAACAACAUAUUCAUAAAAAAAAAAAAAAUUAUAAAAGAAAUACAAUAAAAAAUUUGUAAGAAAGAAAAAAUAAAUUGAGAAAAUACAAUUUACCUAUUUUUUAUAUGAGCUUUUAAAGUUUGGAUUAAAACAAAAUAAGAAAAAUUCCCCUCAAACUAUCUUAUUUCAAAUCAAAGCAAAAAUUAUCUUAUUUGUCCAUUCAAUGAAACAUGCUUCUCACAAAUACGUGAGAUCCAUAUCAUCAUAUGAUUGCGAGACGUCCGCUCCAUGGAGCGAAUGAUGAAAAAAAAAAAAAAAAAAAAAAAAAAAUCCCCGCCANNNNNNNNNNNNNNNNNNNNNNNNAAAAAAAAAAAAAAAAAAUCUCCCGCUCCAUGGAUAGAAGUAACUUUUUACACAAAAGAGUGAUAAAUUGUAAUAUUCUCAAAUAAAUAUUUUUAUUAUUCAUUGCUAUCAUCAUGAGUAGUCCGUGACCAUGAGGCAGUAAAAGCAACAAUUUUCACCUCUUUUUUUUUUUGGCUAAUACAAUUUUUACCUCUCUAACAAUUUUUGUCCCAUGCGAUUUUAUUUCAAACUUUUUUUUUUGAGAAACCUUUUUUUUUGUCCCAUCCGAUUUUAUUUCAAACUAGUUACUGAGCAUGAUGACUUUUAGCCAAACACAUUACUAUAUCAAUAUUCUACUUUCUCCAAGGAUUUUCCGUAGGGCAAUGAUUGACACCCAAACUUGACAAAUAUGCAUUAAAUGGGACCUAUGAAUUGGGGGGGUCCUACUCCUACCAAACUUAUUAAUAAAGGCUAUUUAUUUAUUUUUUAUUUAUUUGUUUUUAAUACAAUAUAGAAUUUUUACUUUAAUUUAAUCUAAGUAUAUAAGUGUGUAAAACUCUCUUCCGGAGAUUUGAACCAUGACCCUUACUUUCCACAUCUUACAAGUAUUUAUAUUUAUAGAGUGAUCAUCGCACCAAAAGUGCGCGGUAGUAUUAAUAAAGGCUUGAUUACUACAGUAAUGAAAAUCUCUUUUGUUUUUAUUUUUUAUUUUUAUUUUUAUUUUUUGCAAUUAAAAUGCAAAUGUGACUCUUUAAAUUUCAAUUCAUUUCAGUUAUUUAGUUUUGUUUUCUUUUAUUUAAGUCCUUUAAUAUCAAGUUUAUUCCUCAACUUCUAUUAAAUAUUUUUUAAAAAUGAAAAAUAUUUAUCAAUCAUUAAUUAAAUUUUUUUAUUUUACUAAAUUAAAAAAGUUGAACAAUUAACCACAACAUUUAACAGAAACUAAUGAAAAAACUUUAAUUGAAUAAACAUAAAACUAAAAUAACUAAUAUGAACAAAAAUAAAGUUAGAAAACUGAAGUAAAUUUUGCUAAACAUAGAGAAUAAAUUCUACAUUUUAGCUUCUUUUUUUUCUUUUUUUUUUUCAAAAAUUAUAAUUCGAUAGUAUAUAGGAAUGAUGUCGAUCUUUAUAAUUCGAUAGUGUAGAAAUGAUUGUGUCAUAGUAAUGUUGGAAGUAAAAUUCUAACUUUCAAACCUGAAAUGAUAUAUUUAUUCCCUCAACGAUGUUGCAGGCGAUACUAAUGUGCGGUCGAGCCCAACCCACUACGGCUACCGCACAAAAUCAGACGGCGAUGGGAUCUCCAUCUUUGGGUCGAAAGACAUAUGGAUAGAUCACUGUUCCCUCUCACACUGCAAAGAUGGGCUGAUUGAUGCAGUUAUGGGGUCCACAGGGCUCACAAUAUCAAACAAUUAUUUCUCGCAUCACAAUGAGGUGAUGUUAUUGGGCCACAGCGAUGACUACUUGCCAGACACAGGAAUGCAAGUGACCAUAGCAUUCAAUCACUUUGGUGAAAAAUUGGUGCAGAGAAUGCCAAGGUGUAGACGUGGCUACAUCCAUGUGGUUAACAAUGAUUAUACUCAGUGGGAGAUGUAUGCUAUUGGUGGCAGUGGUAACCCUACCAUUAAUAGCCAAGGCAAUCGCUACACCGCUCCUCUUGAUCCCAAUGCCAAGGAGGUACUAUUACCUUUUGUUUUUGUAUUUAAAUAAAAUCAAAUUCUAGACUAAUUUGAUAAUUGAGGAUGAGUGAUUUGAAUCCUAGACGUUUUCAUUAUAAAUACCAAUUUUUUUGAUAUUUAAAUUAUUAUUUUUUUCCAAAACAUUAUUUAAUGAAAUACAAAUAUUUCUAAACAUAUAUAGCAACAACACUCAAUGUACAAGAUCAAAAACCUAAACUGUUAUAAUAAGUGAGAACGAUGAUUUGAUAUAUUAUUCUCCUAAUAAGGAGAUCAGACAAUAUCAUUGAGUUAUAAGAAUUUCUAUGAUGGGUCUAUGUGUUUAUACAAUUUUUAACCUGCCUACAUAUGUGAGCAGAUAACGAAGCGAGUGGACACGGAGGAAGGAAAAUGGAAGGGAUGGAAUUGGAGGACAGACGGCGAUAUAAUGGUGAACGGAGCAAUAUUUGUGGCCUCAGGUCAGGGUGUAGAGGUUAAGUACGAGAAGGCUUAUAGCGUGGAGCCCAAAUCAGCCGUGCUUAUUGACCAGCUCACUAUGCAUGCCGGCGCCCUUGGAGUUGGUGGCAGGUUUGUAAAUUUCUUCUCUUUUUGCUUCUUUUCUCUUUAUUUCUUCUUUUAUCUUUUUUUCUCACUUUUUCUUUUUCUUUUUCUUUUUCUCUCUUUUUUUUUUCUUUUACUUUUACUUUUGGUCAAUUAUAAUGAUUUCCCUUUACUGUUCAAUUGUCACAUAUGGUCCCUAAGAAACUAAAAAAUUUAGAAAGUGUAUGUUUUCACCAAAAAAAAAGAAAAAGAAAGUGUAUGUCUUUAUUGGACUGCUUUACCCAAAUUCUAUGUUGAGGCCCAAAGUUGUUGCAUGUUAACCCAUGCCUGUUUUAGAUGGACUGAUUUCAAAACCGAAAGCAGAGGCCCAAAGACAAUAUUCAACAGGAAUUACUUAUAUUUGUUAAAUUAUUAUAAAGUAUCAUACUUUUAUUAUCUUUGUAUGAUUUUAUUAAAACAUUAUAAAAAAGACUAAUUAAGUAUUUAAUAUAUUUAACAUCUACUUUUUUUUGUCAAUGUUUGGCUAAAUUUUCAGAAAAAUAAAAAACAAAAUCAUUUUUUUUCCUCAUAUUAUUAUAAUGUGAAAUAAUUUGAUAUAUAUGUGUGUAUUUACUUUUUUAAGUAUGAUAUGUAAUUUAAUUUCAAUCCUUGCAACACAAUUUCUGACUUAUGUGCUGAUUUUCGCACUCUUUAAAUGUGAUUGACGUAGCUAUUAUAGACUUAAAGUAUGUGAUAAAAAUGAAUAGAAAUUAAGCAAAAUUUUUCUAACGUAUAAAUAAGCAGGGACAACAACUUGGGAAUGUGGAGUACAGGACCCAAUGGUGGUGGAACAGAUUUAGACUCAGGCCCAGACUACACGGAUGACUGGUCGGGAAGCAGUGGGCCACUGUUACCUUCUACUUCGACUUUCUUAUCCCUUUUGAUUGCAUUGUCAUGUUUGUUAUUUUAUAAAAUACAUCCCACUUUUAUGUUAUAACAGGAAAUUCAGUUGUGAUUUUUAUUCAACGGAGAUGUUCAAGUUCAAGUUCUCCCCCUUUAUUGUUGUGACUUUCAAAUUAUCAAAAAAAUAAAAGUAAAUGCGAUCGCGAGACUCUCAACACAAAACAAUGGCACAUCUAUGAUAAGAUAUAUCAUAAUUGCUUAUAUAUUAGUUAAGAUCUUGGGAGUUGGGAAUUAGCUCACCCCCACAAAAUAUACGAUCAUAUCUAAUGAAAUCCACACCAUCUAAAGUAUCACAAGCUACCAAACUAAAACCUCGAAAUUAUCCAAUUGAGACAGAAAGAAUGAAAACACUAAUAAAUUCGAAGAAUGAUUCUUUACUCAUUGAUAUGAUAAUCCAUAUAUGUUAUAUUGCCAAGAAGGCUCCAGAAAUUUUUCUCAAGAUAUUCUUUAAGGAGUAUAAAUUACACAACUUACUGUGCAUUAUCCACAGCUCAAUCCACUGCCUAACAUAAUUUAAUUUGUUUGUCUUUUAUAAUGUAUUGGUUAAUUAAAUUAUUAAUUAUUUUUAUUUAGUUGCUUCAUUAUUUUUUUUUACUGACUACUAGCAGUCUAGCACACACUCUAUUGUGCAAUAGCACACACCUCAUGUGCAAUAGCACACACCUCAUGUGCAUUAUCUACGGCCAAACCCAUUGUCUAGUGCCUAACAUAAUUUAGUUUUUUGUCUUUUAUACUGCCUAUGCAUGCCUUCAGCCUUUAGUGCCUCUACCUAUCCACUUCCCCAAUUCAAAUAUUCCACCCCACGGCCCCCAUCCACUACUCACUCAACAGACAAGAGUCACAAGAGCCAAUCAACAUUCCACAAAAUAUUAAACAUAUAAAAUAUUCACAACACACAAAAUUCACAAUUCACAAUACACAAUACACAAAACGACAAACUCACAAAUCAAUAAAGUCAAAAUGUCAAAUAAAGUUAUACAGCAAAGGUAAUUAGACAUUUAGAUAUAGAGAAACAGAGAGAUAAAGAGAAUCUCAUUUCAGUUCAAAGAGAAAGAAAGAGAGAGCUUCGCUUUCACUCAGUCACUCUCAGAUCAAAGCACAGCAAUUAGCAAAGCCAAAGAUGUAAGAUUUAGAUGAGAUAGACUGAUAGAGAAAAAGAGAGAGAAGUAAAGAACUAAAAUACCUUGAGGCUUGAGGAGAAGCGCCACGAUAGCACGUCGAGGUGAGGACUCGAGGGACAAGGGUCGAGGUGACGAGGCAAGCCAAGCAAUUUCUAUUCUGAUCUCCAAUCUCCUUGUCGUUGUUGCUCGAGUUUGAGGCCCGAUGUGCUCUAUUGCUUGAGUUUGAGGCAAUCCAAGCAGAGGCGCCGAUGUGCUCGGAGCUUGGUCGUUGAUGAGGUUUUUUUUUUUUUUUUUUUAAAUAAGUUUGGGUUAGUUUUGUUUAGGAUUGAUGUUGGGCUUUUUUCCCCUAGGGUAUGAUGAGGUUUUUUUUUUUUUUUUUUUGAAUCCGUUUGGGUUAGUUUUGUUUAGGAUUGAUGUUGGGCUUUUUUCCCCUAGGGUGUGCUUGCUAUGUUUUUUUUUUUUUGGCAUUUUCUUUUUACUUGAAAGUAAAACAAAUAAUGGAGCAAAAUUUAAUUUUAUUGGCAUAAAAAAAAUUGAGGGUGUUCCCAAAUUUUUUUAAAAGGGUAUUUAAGUUAAAAAAAAUUAUUAUAUAUAAAUUAUUAUUUUUUUCUUCAGGUCAGGGUGGUCCCCCUGCCGUGGCGCCGCCACUGCCAAGAAUGGUUGGUAGAUAAUCCAUUCUUCCAAUAUUUGUGGUGGCUCACCUGGCUGUUGUAGACUUUGACUUCUAUGCUUUAAGGAUUAAAUAAAAAACUAGUUAUUGGAUAUGGAUAAAAGAUAUUGUAGUUCUAAUGGAGUUAAUGAGUAAUGAUUAUUCUUAUAUUUUGAACUUCGUGAAAUAGGGUGGAUGAAAAAUUUUGGAGAGAAAAUGAGAAGAAAAACUUUUUUGAGUAUGUUUGGUUGGGUGGGGAGGAAGAAAAAUAAAUUGUAAGGCCCAUGUAUUUUCUCUCCAGACCCAUCAAAAAGUUUUAUUUCCAAAAUGGAGAGAACUCUAAAGAAAAAAAUGAGGCUGCUUAAUGGACAAAAAUGUCCAUGUCUAGUUCAUUUCUUUUUUUUUUUUUUCUUUUCUGGACGUUGCUUUUUUAUUUUUCUUUUUUUGAUUUUCUGGGCUAUGAGUGGGCAUGUUGACUUUUUUUUUUUUCUUUCUUUCUGGGUUGUGGGUGUGAUAGUUGUUAUUGUUGUUGUUGAUUUUUUUUUUUUUUGGAUUUAACUAGACAUGAUAUUUUUUGGUUCUUUGUCACUCUUUUGUAUUAAUUGAUCAUCAUUUUUUCAUAAGGAUAUAUGAGUAAAUUUAUACAUACUCACUUUUUCCAUCCAUCCACUUUUCCACUCCCAACCAAACAAAAAUGAGAAAAAUUAAAAUCUUUUUCAUAUUUCCACUUUUCCAUCCUCUCACCCCCACUUUUUUACCCUUCCAGCCAAACGAACCCUUAGUGUAGUUGCCUUAACUUUAUCUCGAUUCAAUCUAAUUGGAUAAAUUAAGUGAUAAUUGUAAGGACCAGAUUUGAAUUCCUAACCCAAAAUACGAAUGGAUUUAGGCCCAAAAAGCCCAAAAUAAUGAAUUUUUAGAGAAUGAGUUAGAAAACUGGGCUUUAGUUAAUUAAACAACAAGUUAGGUAGGCUUGAUGACAAAAGAGUGAAAAUAAACAAAUUUAAACUGAAGAAAAAAGCCAUCGGCAAAGUCCGAGGAGACUGGUUCUUAUAUAAUGCUUUUAAGUAUGGUUACAAGUCCGUUUCUGGAUUGCUAUAGUGUUUCUUUCUUGAUUUCCUGAUCUCCUUCCCUCUAGGGGUCUCUUACAUUAUAUAUCUCCCUCUUCAUGAUCUUGGCCCUCCAUUUGUUGAUCAUCUAAGCCACUACUUGAGUGUUUGUCCCAUCAGACACCCUCCCUAGCUCUCUAUGAGUUGGGAUAGCCAAGACAGCACUGUUCAUGAGUCUUCUUCACAUAAAUGUGGCCAGAAAGUUAGCUGCAUAACAUUUAAUGUGGUGGCAGUAGUUUUUCCUUAUAUAUUUCUGAGCUUCCCUCCUUCUUGUGCGUUUGCCAUACGCAUCCCUGUCAAUAGAACAUUUAGGAAGAUCACCUUGAAUGAUAAGACAUGUAUUUGAUCUGUGCUUUGCUCAUCUGAGGAGGUGAGCCUCCUUAGACUAACUUUCUUAUUCUCUCUGUUUGCAUCUCACUCAUGGGACUCUGAACUUGACAUUCUCAUUACCAUUUAUUGGUUCUCGAACCAGUCAGCCUCCUUGAACAAAGCCCAAGACCCAAUAUACAACUUUGGGCCCUAGUCCCUACAAUUAUGUUUAGCUAAAUUUUCCCCUAAAAAAUGUUUAGCUAAAUUUAGUGAAGGUGAUGUAGCAAAUGUAGCCAUACUGAAAGAGAAAAUUAUUAAGUACUCUUGGAAUACCUUAAAUACGUACUCCCCCUUCUCAUAUGAAUGGUGGAUUUCAUUAUGAAUUUAAUUAGUGGGACCUACUAUUCAUGUGAGAGGAGAAAAUAUGCAUUUAUGGUAUUCGGAAAUUACACAAUAAUUUUCCAACUGAAAGACAUUAAAGAAAAAGAGGAACAGGAGGUAUGAUAUUUUCCCUAAAAUGUGACAUUUAAGUAUGUGACGUAUUCUGAGGCUUUGGUUAAGUUCAUCUAACCUUCUCAAGCUCCCACCUCAUGCUCUACUUUCUAAAUGGAUAAUAUUAUCUUGUUCCUUUGUUUGCACUUGACCAACCUGGUAUUCCAUCAAUAUCACAAUCAGCUUAUUAUAUUGCAGGGUUUUUAUAGCUCAAUUAGUGACUUUUGAAAAAGCAAAUAACAGUUGUUGAUCACACACAGUUUGAGUUUCAAUGUGUUACUUUACAGUUUAAUUUAAAUGCUUGAUGCAACACAUGUUAGACUGAUGUGCUAAAGAUUUAUUCUUUUUUUCCAAAAUUUAAUAGACAGCUAAUUGAUAUCCCUUUUUGCUUGCAGUUUGUGCAGAAAAUUGACACAACCAUGA
rnacentral:sRNA from 1 species